ensembl:snRNA U6 U6 spliceosomal RNA
GUGCUCGCUUCGGCAUCACAUAUACUAAAAUUGGAACGAUACAGAGAUUAGCAUGGCCCUUGCAGAAGGAUGACAUGCAAAUUUGUGAAGCAUUCCAUAUUAAA